UUCUCUUUUCACACUCACUAUAAUACAGUGAAUGCUCACAGUAAUCAGCUCUCUUUCAUAUGGGUUCUGCCUUUCACUGAACAUGAUUUCCAGUUGAUCAUAGAACAGGCACUGAACAGAAAUAAAAACUGGAGUGUGCAGGAUCAGUGGUUGGCAUCCAGGGGCAGGUUUGGUUCAUUAUCACGGGGACAACCUCAGGUAUAGGCAUUGAGGACAAAUGGGGGGAAAUUACAAAUUCUAUAUUUUUUAAUGUUUUUGAUGUUUUGUUGUUAAACAAAUACCAGAUUUUAAAAACAAAGGGAAGUAAAAAUACAUCAAAAACUACUUAUCAUCGCACCACAUAGAGAUAACCACUGUCAGCAUCUUCACUCAUUUCCUACACUUUAUUCCAUACAUAUGUGUAGCAGAGAUGGGGAAUUCCUUAAUGAAGAUUGGGUAUGUGGACAUCUCCUUACACUCAGCCAGACAUAUAUUUGUGUUUUGUUAUCCAUGUGCACAGAGACUUUGGCAUUCUGGGUGAAGGAAGAAAGAAGAGAAUAUACAUGGAAACCCAGGGAUUGUGGCAAAGAUGGAUGAUGGGAUGUCACUUCACUGAUUAAGUGCCAAAAGGUUGCAAUCUCCUCUUGCUAACAGACUCUCUGCCUUGCUGGCUUUGAUGAUGCAAUUUGCCAUGUUGGAGCUGCCUAUGUGGCAUGAAACUGAAGCAGGCCUCCAGCCAACAGCCAGCAAGAAACUGAGACCCUCAGUCCAACAGUCCACAGGGAUCUCAAUCUUGCCAACCACCAUGUGAGCCUGGAAAUAGAUCCUUGCCCAGUUGAACCUUAAGAUCACUACAUCGCAGCUGACACCUUGACUGCAAGUCUGUAAGAGACCCUGAAGUGCAGGAACUUGCUAAGCCUGCCCAGACUCUUGACCCACGGAAACUGUGAGACAAUACAUGUGGGUUGUUUUAAGUUUGGGGGGUCUCGCUCUGUUACCCAGACUGGAGUGCAGUGGCGCGAU